UUAAAAAAAAAACUGGGCCGGAGAGGGGAGAGACGGAGCGAGGGGCAAGCAGACGACCUCGCCGCUGGCGAGGGUUAGGGGCAGGAGAAUGCUUCUUCUCCGGCCAAGUCCCCCACCCCGUCCCACCGGUACAGCGACUGGACCGCCCUGCCCGGCCAAGCCCCCCCUCGCUCUCCGCGCCCGCCGCGAAGUGGAAGUGGAUUCCCACGGCGCGACCCGGCGGCGACGACGAGAUAUGGCAGGGUUUGACGCCCCAUCAUCACCGAUACAAAUGACGCGGCUCCAUUUGCUGAAGAAAGAGCUUGGAUUAUGGCUGUUGCUUGCCUCAAGCUGCUCUAGGCAACUGGAACCAUGCCGCUGCCGAGCAGCCGGAGAUCAUCUCAUUGACGUCACCCUUGACCCUUGUGUGUAGUAGAUUGGCGCCAAUGAUCGUCACCCUAUCGGUGCCACCGACCUGCGACAACGCUUGACCGCCGUGGUCCUCUAAUGAAAAUCAGAGGUAGUUGCUCGUGUGCUUGUUUUUCUGUUCUUCUAUUAAUUAGUGUAUACAUCAGACUGAUGAUAGUUUAAUUUAGAGAUGCAUUCAUGUCAUUCCGGAAAUUAAGUGCGUAAAAAGAUUUAAACCCUUCCCAAUUAUUGCUCUCGAGUUGCUAGCAAUCGUAUCGGGGGUCAGUUAGCUUUCAAGUCAAGAUUCUGAAGCAAGACUUCCUUGCCAAGAAAAAUGAUUCUGAAGCAAGCCAGCAUUGUGUUUAUAUUAUGGCAAAUCGACGCUGAAUUUCGGUGUCUCAAAAUUAAUCAAAUUUGGGUCUCAGAUUUCCACCAUUUCUUAUCAAAGUAAUUUGCUUUUGGAUUCUGUAUGUAUAUAGCUUAGUUUAUUGCUCAUCAAUACUUUUCUGAAUAUAUCCUUAUCCUAUAUACCUAAGAGACUCAUCCCCACUAGAGAGUGGCGUUUUGGUGGCCGAGCUGCCUGCAGGCUGGAAUCUGGCGCCGUACAGUACAACGCUGCGAUGUGUGCACGCCUUUUUGGUCAGAGGUAUACGGUAGCUGCUAAUCUGAAAUACAUCCGUGCCGUGGGCUGCUGUGCCAGUGUUGUACGUGGGCCUCGGGUGCGCGCUGGAUACGCAAGCACGUCAUGUGCUUGCUGGGCUGACUUAAAAGUAGCACACGUUGGUAGUUGGUGGCAGGUAAGGGCUGGUGCGACAUUAAUCCUGGGCCCAUCUGAGCGGCGUUUCGCCAUGGAUGGCCUCGAGUUCUUCUUCUAGGAAGCAGAAUCAUGAUUGGUUCCCAAGGCUCAUGCGGGUGAUAUUUUGGGUGGCGGAUUUGAUGUUGUGGAGUCUUUGGUUGCUUCCAUCCAUGAAGGUCGCGGGCGCUCCUCUGAUGUGAUUUCUUCUGAGCCGAUGCGUGUGGAGGCAAAUGUUGGCUCAUACCACAACGGUGGGAGUGAGGUCGUUGGUGACUCGAACGAUAUGGCGGCACAGAAUACGUCCACUGCAUCUAUGGGAGACGAGGGAGAUGCAGAAGGUGUCGUCGUCAACAAAUCAAAAGCAUCCUGUUGGACUCGACGUGUUAGGAUUGGCAACGCGCCAGAAGAGAGGGAUGCCAACCCAAGCAGAGUCCCUGCCCUAGAGGCAUCGAUGCGAGCUUAUGCAGACAACAAGGUUGUCACUGUUGUUAACCCGGCGCUCGGAACUAGCUUUGACAUAGUUGAAAAAGCAUAUGAGUUUUACAACCUAUACUCCUGGGAGACUGGGUUUGGCGUUAGGUAUGCCAAAAGCAGGCUGAACGUCCAUCGGGAAAAAUGCAUGCAUGAGUUUGUGUGCGCGUGUGCGGCAAGGAUGAUUCAUUAAUUCAAAAAAGAUAAAUGUUUCCCGUUCCUACUACUUUUUCAUUUUGUAUGCUCUCAUAUCUUAUGAGAAACUAUGCAGGGCAAGCCAUUGCAAUCGAACAGCCGCUCGACGAGAUGUGGAUUCCCCGCAUUGAUGCAGGUUCUUAGAUGGGAUGAUAAAGGAUGGUACAUAUGUGAACACAAAGCAGAGGACAACCAUGCAGUCUCAGUUAACUGUAUGGAGAAGCUGCACUGGAAAUCGCACCGACACAUAGAUAGAUACACCAGAGACUUGGUGAAACAGCUGAGAGAGAACAAUAUAAGCCUGAGCAAGGUUUACAGUGUGGUUGGCAGUUUUUUUGGAUAUGUGAAGGAGGUGCCAUUCACAAAGAGAUCUCUCAAAACUCUUUGUGGAAAACUUAACAGAGAGCAGUCGAAAAACGAUGCUACAAAAACAAUAGAGGUGUUCAACGCAAUGCGGGCUGAAGAUCCUGAGUUCAAAUACAGUCUGCAGGUUGAUAGUGAUGGUUGAGUCAAGACUUUGACGUGGACAAUAGGGAGAAGCAUCGAGCAUUUUAAGUGUUUUGGCAAUGCUGUCACGUUUGAUACGACAUGCAAAACUAAUCUAUACGACAUGCAGUUUGGCCUCUUCGUUGGUGUCAACAAUCACUUCCAAAGCAUUAUUUUUGGAGGUGUGCUAAUGAGCGAUGAGAAAAUUGACACACACUUUCAAGUGGUUAUUCACAUAAUUCUUUCAGAUGAUAGGAGCGCCACAACCACGCACAAUCCUCAUAGACCAAGCUCGUGCAAUGGAGGUUGCCAUAGAAGAUGCCAUGCCACAUACAACACAUCGGUGGUGCAAAUGGCAUGUGUUGAAGAAAGCAAAAGAGUGCCUUGGGCCACUGCUAGGCAAAGGUAGUGAGUUCAAACAGGAGUUCAACAAGAUGGUGCAUCACAUGGUUAGCGAGAAAGAAUUUGAGGAUGGUUUGGCAUGUAUGGUUCAGAAGCACGGUCUACAAAAUAAUGUAUUUCUUACACAAAUAUAUGAGACUCGGAUGAAAUGGGCUAAGCCUUACUUCAUGGAUGUUUUUUGUGCCAAGAUGACCAGCACGCAACGGAGUGAAAGUGCAAACCAUUUGCUGAAAGGAUAUGUGCCACCAGGAUCCCUGAUGCACCUUUUCGUCAGGCAAUAUGAGAAGAUGCAAUUUGACAGAGAUUCGGAGGAGAGCUAUCAAGAGAAGAGAACCAAACUGGGUGGUGUUGUGCUCGCUCAGAACCUACCUAUUGAGAUACAUGCAUAAAAAAUUUACACGAGGGCCAUGUUUGAAAAUUUUGGUGAGGUGCUAUAUAUAUGAAUGUGGGUCAUAUGUUCUGAUCGAAGUUGUGCCUCGUCGUUGGGCACUUGCAAAGUCAAAAGGGAUGAAUCUAAAAAUGAAAGUGAAGCUUACACUGUCGAUUGGGCACUUGUAGAAGCGCUUGCCCAGGUUGGGUCCAUCUAUGUUGGUCUCCACCUGAACCUCGCCGCAGUCCGGGCACAUGAUGAGCGGCAAGUGUUGACGCCUUUCCGUGGAAUGAACUGAGGAUGAAGACGAAGCCAUCUCGAUCUUGUUUGAGCUGGGUGCGGCUGCGAUGGAGAGCCAUCUCUCCUAUAAAUAGCCGACGAGACGAAGGCAACGGCAGGAUCCUCAGCGUUCGACCCAAACGGCUACAUGCACAUGAGUCUGAUAUGAUGCUGUACUGCACAUGUUGACGAAGUCAAAGUCCCGUGCCAUGUACAUGAGUCUGAUAUGAUGCUGUGCUGCACUGCUGUACCUGCUCGUGUAGGUGUGCCCGCAAGGUUUAUUUAAUAAAGCAGAUACAGUGCGGCAGCAGACUCUCCUACGAAUACGGUAAAAAUACGGUAGUGUCUUAAUGGCUUGGCACCGAUCGC